GAGUUGUCAUCUUCUCAUCAAAAUGACUAGAUGGAAAGCAAAUAAAACACAAAACUGUCAGAAGUUGAAGGCCACAAUCCAAUGCGCCAGUUACCAAAUGACAGAAACAGAGACAUCAGAGAAGAGAGUGCAGGGUACGUCCUGGUCUGCUAUACAAAUGAGUGUAUGAGUGUGUGAGCAUCACAUUCAAUAAUGAUCACGAUGACUGGGAAUGAUGCUUGAGGACUAGAGGAAUGUGAAUGUCACUCCUAUCUUCAAGCACCCAAAGGAGGACCCCAGAAGUUCUCAAUGUUAGGACCAGAGGCAGUGGACACACAUUGAAACAGAGAAGGAGAGGUUCCCUAUGAACAUCAGGAAAUGUUUUCACUGUGAGGGUUGCUCAGCACUGUCACAAGUUGCCCAGAGAGGCUGUGAAGUUGUCAUCCUUGGAGAUAAUUGAAAGCCACCUGGACAUGGUCCUGGACAGCCUGCUCUAGCUGCCUUUUCUGUAGCAGAGGAGAUGAACGAGAUGACCUUCAGAGGUCCCUUCCAGCUUCAACCAUCCUGUGGUUCUCUGACCUUCUGGCACCUUACUUCUCAUGCCACUCUGAACACUGCUUCUUUUGGCAGACUGAAGGGGAUAUGCCCAGGCAUUUCCAAAGAGAAGUGAUCUGAGUGCUGGAGAGAUUAGGCUGGCACAGGCUCCUUGGUCUGGCUGUAUGUUCCCAGGUCUAAAUUCUGCUCAGAUGGCUGACUGCUGUGAGACAGAAGGUGCCUUGUAAAUGCUGUGGCUGAAGGGUGAGGUGAAUACAAGUUUUCAUCUGAGAGAAAAUAAAAGAAACACUACUCCAGGAGUCAGUGCUCACCAUGUCAGGUAGGCAAUAGCUGCUGUUUUGAUUUAAUUGCCUGUGUGAUGGUCAGCAAAGCUUUUAAUAGCUGGUACCUUCAAAAGCAAUGAAGUACUACUUUGAUUUGCUUUAUUUCAAACUGUGCUUACCAGCAGCCACAGGGCGCGCUCAACUUUCAUCUUUGCUUUUGCACAAUGAAAUUUACCUCUUGGAAACUUGUUAGGAAAAAAAAUAUUGUUUCCAUCUGCCAAAAAGUCAGGUUUUCCCCAUGAAAGAGCACACUUCACUAACAGUGUGCAUGGUGGAACAGAAGAUGUGUGAGUUUUCUCUCCUGUGCUUCCUAGCAAGAACAAACAGCACACGUUUUUUCUCAAAGCUGCAUCUUAUUGGCAAAGGAAACUCAAAGUAGGUUUCAGACUGUAAACUCUUUGGAGCAGGCACUUCCAUACAUCACUGUUAACACCCAUGGUGUGAACACUGCUCUUUCAACACUGAAAAGCUGCACAGGAAAAAUGGAUAAGACAUCCUGGUCCUGGAUGGACUGCAAGGAUUUUGACAGCAGGAAACCAGAGCAGGUUUCUGUGUGAUUAUUCCUCAGCUCAGUGAUGAGUGAAGUACUUCUGAACAAAAGGAAAACAUCUUGGCAAACUACAGAAGGCUUGAUUGGAAUAGGUCAGCAAAAAGAGAACUAUAGUUUUACUCUGUGAUUUGCACUGCAAACUCUAAUGUGAGACCAAGCAAUGAACACAGGGGUAAAGAAACUGCCCAGCUACAGUGAAAUUGUCACCUUGGUGGGAUGGUGUUUGUAGGUGACCCUUCUAGCAUUUGGCAGUGCUGCUGGUUGUCCUGCCAGUAACAUGCUACUGAAUUUCAUGUGACUUUCCACACAAGGUGCAGUCUUACAGGCAUGGACAGGCAUCUGCUUUUCCUGUGAUUAAGAGCAAAGGUGGGUGCAAAUCAAACCAGAGUUUCCUACAUUAUGCCACCCCAAAUUGGCCCCCUUUUGCAUCUGUUAGCUAACACGACCUAGUGUCAUCUCCCCUGUGGGGUCUUGGCAUGCAGGACAGCCUGUGCUUUGGGAAUGGAAGAAGAGGUGUCCAGUGCAAGAAGCUUUUGGCUGUAAGAGACUGGGCUUAGAGUAGAUCCUGCAUAAAAAGGGCUGAAUUGAUUGGAAAUGAAAGCAGGUGAUAAAAUAUCUGGUCUGCCUGUGUCCCACUCAGUCAGAAGGUGCAGUGAACCUGAGGUAGCUGUGCCUCUCAGCACCCUGAGUGUAUGUUUACCACAGAUUAGCAUUCUACACAUUUAUAGCCCAGGCCAGGUUUUGGAGAUGAGCUGAAAACUAAUCAGGUAAAUGCAGAGACUACCUGCAUUGUUAGGAGUCAUGCAGGAGAGAAACCUGUCUGCACUGCUGCUGUUAAUAUGCUGGCAGUGCUAUUGCUGCUUAUUUAUAGCUAAAGACUACUUCCAAAACAUGGGAGCUGAAACCUGUGUUGCAGAAGUUGCAGCUGAGACAUUCCACUUACAGUAAGGACUUUGAAGUAAAAAUUAUCCCCAUCCUUGGCCAGCUUGAAAAAGAAAUAUCGUGAUGACCUGGACAUAACUAGAGAUGCACAAGAGUGUGAAUGUGUAACAUUUAUGCCCUUCUACAGUGGCUGGUCAAGCACAAAGGUGCACAGCAUCUGCGUGGCAGAACCUGGGGCCAUUGUGCUUAGAGUGCUCAAGCCUAACUUCUGAGCUGGGUAUCUGGACCUGAGAGAUGUGCAGACUUGAAUUUCAGCACUCAUCUCCUGAGAAAACACAUUUACACUGCUAGAACUUGCAUUUACAUGCAAGAAGUCUAAAAAUCUCUCCUGUCCCUCCUGUCACUUCUCAGGUGCUCCCAUCCAAUCUGCGACAGUUUUAAACUGUCAGUGGCAUAAAAAAUCGCCACAUUCAGCCCAAAGUCAGUGAAAAACAAUACCAGGCUCGGAACAGCAACUUCUUGCUUGCAGAGCUGAUGUUGCAGCUUAAUAUAUGUGGAGCGGAGGAGAGGAGCAUCAGCGUUUUCGCCUGGCUGCGAGUGCCAGAGCCACCAGUUGAAUUGGGCACAGUAACCAUAGCAACGGCAAGUUUCCGGGACUGGGAGUGACAGGUUGACAGGAUUACUCUUCAAAGCUCUUGCUCCCUUGGGAGAGAAGACCUAAAGGAAGGCGAUGGGAGUUAAUUUAGUGCUCACACUAGAGCAAGGGUCAGCAGUGGCAGGUCCGCUCUGGAGGAAAGCCCGCAGCAACAAUAAACAACUCCCUUUCAAUGGGACUCUGCCUAGCACUGAAAUCACUAUAGGAGGCAUUCCACAAAGAAAAGGAGAUUGGAGCACACAAAAAGGGACACCACUCCCUUCUAAGGGACAGUCAUGACCAGUGGUUCCCGCAAGUCUCAAAGCUGAAUCGCUGCUUAGCUGUGAUGACUUUGCUCUGUCCUGCCACUCCCACUUCCAGUGCUGGGGUGGCCAGAUGUGGCUGUGGAGCUCAAAUGUGGAAACACUAAGUUGUGCCAUACCUGGAAGUGAUGGAGAAGUGACGAGGAAGCAGGCAGGUGUGUAGGCUAGGAAGGGGUGUGGAACAUAAGGUGUAAAUGGUGAGGUGACUGAGGUGUGGGCAUGGCUGUAGUAAGGUGGGCUUGUAGAAGACAAGAGGGUGCUUGCAGGGAAGAGGGAGGCAGCAUGGUGGUGUAGGGGACAGGAGAGAAGGCUGUCAGCUCCUAAUGUUCAUUGUCUCAUUGCAGUGAAGGUAUCAGUGGGGGUUGAAAUUAAGCGUUUUUAAGAAGUGCAUUCUUGUGCACAGUCGCUUUAGUCCCCUUGGACUUCGGCAAGCAAAGGGCUGCUUUCCGUCUGCCCCUUUGGAAGAAGAGGUGUAUGACAGCUCUGUCUCCACGUGUUGCCAACUUAUGGCCAAUGAAACUUCCCUUCAAGCCGUGGUUAACAGACCAAUGCUGAAAAUCCAGCCCUGCUCAGUACCAAAAGACUAUGUGUGAUUUCAAGCUGAUUUUCUGUCUGUGCCUACUAAUGAUGGAUGGGAAGACUGAAACCACACAUACUCAAACAUCUCUUGUCUCCCCGUGGCAACUGAUAGCCAACUACAGUUGCCUGCACUGAGGCCCAGCUACACUCUGUCUGCUUGUAAAUCACUCAGAGAAGUCAGUGCCUACAAGCUCCAAAAGCAUGGAGAGGGAAGGUAGCCCCAGGAUCUGACUGCAGAGAAGCUCUCUACACACAUGCAAUGAACUUCUUUUGCAACUUUUGGGUUUGGUUUGGUUUGGUUUUCCCCUCCCCCACUACGGGAAGAAGACAUACACAUGCCUGCACGGGAGUCUGUGUAGUCUGAAGGCCAAAAAGGCAUCAGUGUCACUGUGUGUUCCACUGACCUGGCUUUUGGUCCUGUAAAAUAAGUGGUGCAGGCAGAGAUGUUUCACAGCACAGAGAGAAUGGCAAGGAGAAUGUAGUAGAAGUGCUGACACGGGAUUAAUUAUAGCGCUGCAGAAAGGGUGGACUUACAAAAAAUGUAAUGUGGGAACAAAGUAUUUCCACUGCCUUUUGUUAGCUACUUAGAGGCGGAUGCAGUACUGCUUCUAUCUCAACUGCAGCUCUUUGCUACAUUUGGGCUGAUCUUUGCUUUCCCUUCCCAACAAAGGGUUUGAAAAACUAUAGGCAACUCCUUGAAAUCUGGAGCAGCUCUGUGCCAGCAACUUUUGCCCAAUCAAAUGAGAGGCUGAAGGCACCGAUUCCAGGGGCUUGAAAUGGGGAAACUUGGGCCCAUUUGUUCUUCGCUGUAACACCAUGCACAUCUUGGUUAUCCCCCAGCUCCUCUGACUCCAAAAUGCAAACAAAUCAACUCAGAAAAGGAGCCUUAGUUAAAAGGCUUCAUGUAAAUGAAAAUUUAAUUACUAUGAAACCACCUCAAAGAGUAUACCUUCAUUUCACCUGCCCCACUUUGCCAGCACCUCAGCCUGAGAAAGCUGGCAGGAGGAGAGGACUUGUGCUGGGAAAAUGGCACUUUGGGGAUCAGGGAAGCCAGGCUCAGAGCCCUAAGCAGCAAGGGGUCACUGUGAGCAUUCCAGCCACAACGCCGAGCACAGAGAGACCUUUCCUCCUUGCCAGCAACUGCACAGCAAAGCCUUUUUCAGUGUCAUAAAAUCUGUUCUGCUUCUCUGCACCUCCAAGAUACAGGGGCAGGAGGCGAGGGAAGGAUUCAGCUGGCAGAGGGAAGGCAACAGAAGGAGUCUGGCUGGCAAGGGGGUGACAGGGAAAAGGAUUCUGGCUGGCAGAGGGGUGACAGUAGAAGGACUCUGGUGGCAGAUUUGCCGUUUAGAAAAGCGCAGUCAGAACGCCGCCUUGGUUUCCUCCGCGCUGCCGGCAAAGCCAAGUCCCCUCCGUUUCAGGCCGCGCAGCAUUCGGCUUUUAGCCUCCCAUCCAGCUCCUGUUUCCGAAAGGGCGCAACUGCUCCCUCUCAGCUUCCCCUUCUGCCCCCGCAUCACGCCCAGGGCCCCGUCUAAGCGCUCCGGAGCCGCCACCAGGGCAGGCAGAGGCCCUUCGCCUCCACCAGCCCUCCGGCUCGGGGCCGUGCCGUGCCGUGCCGCGCCGGCCCCCCCGCGCCGCUUUCCCACGGCCCCCGCCGCCCGCCGGGGAGGCGGGGC